GCAGCGAUCUGCGAAAAGCCACGGGGAGCCGAAAGCAGGCAUCGAUCCGUGGAUAUCCGAAUGGGGAAACCCGGCGGAGCAACAAUCCGUCAGCGCACACUGAAUUCAUAGGUGUGUGCGGGGAACCGUCUGAACUGAAACAUCUAAGUAGGAACAAGAAAAGAAAGAAAACUCGAUUCUCCAAGUAGCGGCGAGCGAACAGAGAACAGCCCAUUAAAGUAAGACUAAACUGAUAGACAAAUCUUAUGGAAAGAAGAACCAAAGAAAGUAACAGUCUUGUAGUCGAAAUCAGAAUAGAGACACUUUAAGAAGAGUACCACGGAGCACGUGAAAUUCUGUGGGAAGAUAGGGGGACCACCCCCUAAGGCUAAAUACUACCUGGUGACCGAUAGCGAAUAGUACCGUGAGGGAAAGGUGAA
rnacentral:rRNA from 1 species